rnacentral:tRNA from 1 species
AAAGAUAUAGUUGAUAUACAACAUUAAAUUGCAAAUUUAAUGGAACCCAAAAGUUAUCUUU